CCCCUUUUUUUUCUGAGGCUCUCUUCGGUGACGGGUAUUCUUGGGUGGAUAAUACGGCUCUCGUUGUUAUUGCUUAAGAAUACGCGUAGUUGAGGAGAGUCAUUGUCGACUGUCUUCGG
rnacentral:pre_miRNA from 8 species